UAUACAGUUGAUGACAAAGUCAAGCUACUUUAAAUUUGCUGAAUGCAGAAUGUUACCGUGUGAGAACAAAGCCGCGGUGAGGGACACUGUACAAGGGGGAGGCAGACAUCUGGGACCUGCUUCAUGUCCAGCAAGAUGACAGACUCGUCCCAUAUCACUUCCUCGGCCGCUGCGUCCCUCGACCCUCUGCAUCACCUCGUCUAUCUUUAUCCCUCCUUCUGCAAGCUGCCGGUGUCAUCUAUCGGCUCACACUUCCAAAGCAGAGGAAUCCAUUCCGGACUCUGUCAAAGGGCCUUGUUGGGGCAAAGUGAGGGGUCUCAGUGGGAAUCGUGUGUCUCUGUGUAUUCCACCCUGGUGCAUGCACGGCCCGUGUGUCAGUGUGGAGUGACUUAGGCUUGGGUGGGCUUUUGGCCGAGUCGCCAGUUUAAAACACGAGCAUCCGCUUUAGAAAAUAGCUGGUUCUGCGAUACAAACGGAACCAAUAGAAAUAUCCCCUCGAACGUAUGAAGAGAACUCAGAUGGCUCUCAAUAUGUCACAAAGAAACGAGCUGCAAAUAUGCUUUGUAUAAAUCUCCAUCAGCUUGCAAACCGUUUGCCUUUUUAAACAUCCGGCACAAACAGAGCAACAUUAGCAUUCAUAGUCAUGAUUUUUACUUUUAGACAAACAUUACACCCAGUAAUUUAAUCCAAGGUUGAUAAAAAUGAAUAUCUGUUAGUGCAGCUACAAGUUAUCCAAGAGACUACAAUGUCAACGAGCUCUACGUCCCAACGCUAAGCUAACAGGCUAACCGCCGCCUUCAUCCACUUCUCCCCCAUGUGGUUAUCUGAGCACCGGCGGUCAGACAGGGAGGCAACAUCUUCCCGUGGUCGGCCGCUCCCAACCAGUAGGCAACGCUCUCAAGCGGCCGUGGGAGGGAACGAGGGAGAAAACCAGCCUCCUAAAUAUAGCCGAGCACUGGCGCUCGGCAAGAGGCCCCCCGGCAUGAGGCCACACACACUCACACAGACGUGUUUAACGCGUAUAAAAAACGAGACGCACACGAGGACAUUUUGACAUCAAGCUGCUCUUUCAUUUCCAAAAUUCAUGUCAUGAAAGAAAGUCACUUCUCAGCUCAGCGGUAUGAAAAAGAAAAAAAAAAAAACCUACGCGGUUUUAACAUUGUUUCCAACGAAAAACACGUGUUCAUUUAAAGCCCCCCCGUCGCUUGUAAACACGACGCAGUCUGCUAACCUGCAGCCACGCGGUCGGCCUGCUCAUCACGGCUUUGGGUUUCUGGUGGUUUGGUCUAGUGUUCCGAGAAACUGACAGGAAGACGGCGCCUCAGCUGUUUCCUGUUUAUGUUGAUGCUGCUGCAAUUGGUCGGAGGAGGUGGAAGGUUGGCCAAUGGGAGCGCAGUUGCCAGGCAGCCUGCUCCUUGUUUGGAGGCCCGCACAGCUGUUCCUUUGAAAAGAGACCACAAGGGCUGCGUGUGGCGUUGCCUCCAUGCUGGCGUGAAGAAUAGAGGCCCAAAAAUGAGUCACUCUAAAGGAACAAUGGAUUUUAAAAAGACAAAAGGAGCCCCUCUGCUCCAGCGCCUCGGUUCGGUUCCUGCUUCAGAGCAGUAUGUGGUGGCAGAAGGUAAAGAAUGAAGAUGUUUGCAAAGGCCAUAAAUACGCAGAGGAGAGCGAUGAGUCUUAUCAGACCAAAAGAACUCAUAUUUUAGUGUUUUUAAUGAAAUAAUAUUCUGCACCUCUCAGCGUAUUUCCGUGUCCCUGAGCGCGGAUCUGCUGACUGAAGGUUACCUGCAGGAUGGAGAAGCUUCAUCAACACCAAAGAAACAACUUGCAACGGCAGUGUGAGCCUUUGAUUUGAUUUGAAGGGACCGUUAGUACUUCAAAGCAGGGUGGAAAAGGACCCCGAAAAAGACCCCGAAAACUGGUCUCAAAUUACCAUUUCUCCUUCCCGUCAAGGCGCCGUUGAUUUUCUCUUAAGCUUCGUGCCAUGUUGGAUUUACUGACACAAAAAAAACGCCAAAAAAAACACAGGUUUAAAUUGGUGGAGCUAUUCCAGGCGGUGUUAAGCCAACAGUGUUGUGUUGGUGGGGGGGGGGCUCCUCUCAAAGUGACUCCCACCUUCUCUGGAGAAAAUAUUUGGAUGGUCUUAGAAACAAAAGUAGCUCUCACAUUCUCGUACAAACUCAAAAGACUUGACUUGCAUUCCUCUUUUAUUUUCGCCUUUUCUCAUCUGCGCAGGAGUCUAAAGAGCAUUUGGGGAUGUCCUUGAACACCAGAGUCCUCGUUCUGCUGCCAAAGACCUGUGAGCGAGUGUUUACUCUACCCGUUCAUGCCGAAUAGCAGAACCAUUUAUAUGUAAAGCGGCAACUAUUAAAGGACACACGGGGACUGAGAAGCCGCACCGCCUAUAGGGAAUAAAGUCCAUUUGCGUUGUGUGCUGUUUGUCCAAGGAGUCACACGCACUGCACACAAUGUGUCUCUGACGCUCUUAGCCAACAAAUGUAUCACAGUCUGUGACCUUUGCCCUUGGACCUUGUUAACCCCGCCCCACCGCCAGCCGCCAGCAGUCGGGCACCGAGCAGAUGGAAUAGUUUGGGGGAGGGUUUGUCUUUUUUACACAGUCGUGUUGUCACUCAAGCCUUCGCCGUCUACUGCCUGGAUUCACCGCUACCUCCUUCUACUCUAUUUACUCCUGGAUUUGUUACAUUCUAUUCAUGUUUACUGUAAAUCCGAUCGAGUGCCCCCCCCAAAAAUUCCAGGACAUGCAGUGUUAAGGUCUUCAUUAAUUAUCUGUCCAAUGACGAUCAUUUACGUUCAAUGCACACCAGAGUCUCUACUCUGGACACCAAAAAAAACAAAAUCUCACGCCAGUUUCCCAAUGACUCAUUCGAAGCUGGCAAAAUAAUUUUAAGUGAUUCUGGGGCAUUGCCAAUAAAUAUAUAUAUAUAAAUAUAAAAGAAAAGAAAAGGAAAAAAAGCAAACUGGUGUAUGGGCAACUGGUGAGGCUGCUGGGCAGCUGUCCAGGCGUUUGGAUGCACCGGGGAACGUCAUUCAACUGUGAAGGAGAUUCAGCUGGAAGGCCGAUGUCCAGACAGACAGCUUUUACUCCACGAGGUGUGACUGUGAAAAGGGUUUUUGCA
ensembl:lncRNA